AUGACGAUCUUGAGCUGGAACUGUCGAGGCCUCUGGCAACCUCGAACAGUUCAAGAACUAGUGUGACUCGUGCACACGUACAAGCCCAAGCUUGUCUUCCUAACUGAAACUCGGCAGAAUAACAAGUACGUCUCAAAACUAAAGUGGAGGUUGGGCCUCCGUCACUGUAUCACGCAACCAGGCACUAGAAAAGGUGUCGGCCUUUCCCUCUUUUAUGAUGAGAGUGUGGAAAUAAAAAAAGAUUGUCGUGGGGACGAGGUAUAUCGAUGUGUUGGUCCGUCUUAA
rnacentral:rRNA from 1 species